rnacentral:lncRNA from 1 species
UAACCGGCAACACUUUCCGAGUCUGUCAUUCUCAAUGACUCGAAAUCGCCCCGGAGCGUCUGUAAUCGGACCCGCUUCACUCGUCAUCACCUUUGUAGGCUUUCUGCAAGAUAACCCACGUUUGGUGAGCUGUCUCAACCGCUGAUAUUCUUUUAACUACCAGCUCGUCAACAGCUUGAAUGAUGGCAUAUAAUGCCUUCUGAUCCCGCUUACGAGUUUC